rnacentral:rRNA from 1 species
GUGCCAGACUCCUACGGGAGGCAGCAGUGGGGGAUAUUGCACAAUGGGGGGAACCCUGAUGCAGCGACGCCGCGUGGGUGAAGGAGUGCUUCGGCAUGUAAAGCCCUAUCGGCAGGGAAGAAGCAAGACGGUACCUGACUAAGAAGCCCCGGCUAACUACGUGCCAGCAGCCGCGGUAAUACGUAGGGGGCGAGCGUUAUCCGGAUUCACUGGGUGUAAAGGGAGCGUAGACGGCCAUGCAAGCCAGGGGUGAAAGCCCGGGGCCCAACCCCGGGACUGCCCUUGGAACUGCAUGGCUGGAGUGCGGGAGGGGCAGGCGGAAUUCCUGGUGUAGCGGUGAAAUGCGUAGAUAUCUGGAGGAACAUCAGUGGCGAAGGCGACUAUCUGGCACAUAACUGACGCUGAGGAGCGAAAGCGUGGGUAGCAAACAGGAUUAGAUACC